AUUGAACGCUGGCGGCAGGCCUAACACAUGCAAGUCGGACGGUAGCACAGGGGAGCUUGCUCCUCGGGUGACGAGUGGCGGACGGGUGAGUAAUGUCUGGGGAUCUACCCGAUAGAGGGGGAUAACCACUGGAAACGGUGGCUAAUACCGCAUAAUGUCGCAAGACCAAAGAGGGGGACCUUCGGGCCUCUCACUAUCGGAUGAACCCAGAUGGGAUUAGCUAGUAGGCGGGGUAACGGCCCACCUAGGCGACGAACCCUAGCUGGUCUGAGAGGCUGACCAGCCACACUGGAACUGCGACACGGUCCAGACUCCUACGGGAGGCAGCAGUGGGGAAUAUUGCACAAUGGGCGCAAGCCUGAUGCAGCCAUGCCGCGUGUAUGAAGAAGGCCUUCGGGUUGUAAAGUACUUUCAGCGGGGAGGAAGGCGAUGUGGUUAAUAACCGCGUCGAUUGACGUUACCCGCAGAAGAAGCACCGGCUAACUCCGUGCCAGCCGCCGCAGUAA
rnacentral:rRNA from 1 species